AGCGAACGCUGGCGGCAGGCCUAACACAUGCAAGUCGAACGAGACCUUCGGGUCUAGUGGCGCACGGGUGCGUAACGCGUGGGAAUCUGCCCAAAGGUUCGGAAUAACUCAGGGAAACUUGAGCUAAUACCGGAUAAUGUCGCAAGACCAAAGAUUUAUUGCCUUUGGAUGAGCCCGCGUAGGAUUAGCUAGUUGGUGGGGUAAAAGCCUACCAAGGCGACGAUCCUUAGCUGGUCGAGAGGAUGAUCAGCCACACUGGGACUGAGACACGGCCCAGACUCCUACGGGAGGCAGCAGUGGGGAAUAUUGGGACAAUGGGCGAAAGCCUGAUCCAGCAAUGCCGCGUGAGUGAUGAAGGCCUUAGGGUUGUAAAGCUCUUUUACCCGGGAUGAUAAUGACAGUACCGGGAGAUAAGCUCCGGCUAACUCCGUGCCAGCAGCCG
rnacentral:rRNA from 1 species